rnacentral:rRNA from 1 species
CCUACGGGAGGCUGCAGUGGGGGAUAUUGCACAAUGGGAGGAACCCUGAUGCAGCGACGCCGCGUGGGUGAAGAAGCGCCUCGGCGCGUAAAGCCCUGUCAGCAGGGAAGAAAAUGACGGUACCUGAAGACGAAGCCCCGGCUAACUACGUUCCAGCAGCCGCGGUAAUACGUAGGGGGCAGGCGUUAUCCGGAUGUACUGGGUGUAAAGGGGGCGCAGGCGGCGUUGCAAGCCAGGAGUGAAAGCCCGGGGCCCAACCCCGGGACGGCUGUUGGAACUGCGGGGCUGGAGUGCGGGAGGGGCAGGCGGAAUUCCUGGUGUAGCGGUGAAAUGCGUAGAUAUCAGGAGGAACACCGGUGGCGAAGGCGGCCUGCUGGAGUGCAACUGACGUUGAGGCCCGAAAGCGUGGGGAGCGAACAGGAUUAGAUACCCCAGUAGUC